rnacentral:rRNA from 1 species
CGCGCACCGAGUCGCCCCCAUCCCCCCGAUCAUGUGCGGGGGAGGCGGGAGCGGAGAAUGGCCCCCCGUGCCCCCGUGCGCGGCCGGCCCAAACACAGGCCCCGGGAGGCCGACGUCACGAUCCGUGGUGGUUGUAAGAGACACACGCAAAUCGGAUCCCGUGCACGCCGCGCCGCACCCAAGGCCACAACAACCCCCCAAGGGCCGUCUCCGGACGGCGCCCACUCU